AGACCCGAAACCCGGUGAUCUAGCCAUGGGCAGGUUGAAGGUUGGGUAACACUAACUGGAGGACCGAACCGACUAAUGUUGAAAAAUUAGCGGAUGACCUGUGGCUGGGGGUGAAAGGCCAAUCAAACCGGGAGAUAGCUGGUUCUCCCCGAAAGCUAUUUAGGUAGCGCCUCGUGAAUUCAUCUCCGGGGGUAGAGCACUGUUUCGGCUAGGGGGCCAUCCCGGCUUACCAACCCGAUGCAAACUGCGAAUACCGGAGAAUGUUAUCACGGGAGACACACGGCGGGUGCUAACGUCCGUCGUGAAGAGGGAAACAACCCAGACCGCCAGCUAAGGUCCCAAAGUCAUGGUUAAGUGGGAAACGAUGUGGGAAGGCCCAGACAGCCAGGAUGUUGGCUUAGAAGCAGCCAUCAUUUAAAGAAAGCGUAAUAGCUCACUGGUCGAGUCGGCCUGCGCGGAAGAUGUAACGGGGCUAAACCAUGCACCGAAGCUGCGGCAGCGACACUGUGUGUUGUUGGGUAGGGGAGCGUUCUGUAAGCCUGUGAAGGUGGCCUGUGAGGGUUGCUGGAGGUAUCAGAAGUGCGAAUGCUGACAUAAGUAACGAUAAAGCGGGUGAAAAGCCCGCUCGCCGGAAGACCAAGGGUUCCUGUCCAACGUUAAUCGGGGCAGGGUGAGUCGACCCCUAAGGCGAGGCCGAAAGGCGUAGUCGAUGGGAAACGGGUUAAUAUUCCCGUACUUGGUGUUACUGCGAAGGGGGGACGGAGAAGGCUAUGUUGGCCGGGCGACGGUUGUCCCGGUUUAAGCGUGUAGGUGUGUGUUCCAGGUAAAUCCGGUUCACUUUAACACUGAGGCGUGACGACGAGGCACUACGGUGCUGAAGCAACAAAUGCCCUGCUUCCAGGAAAAGCCUCUAAGCAUCAGGUAACAUCAAAUCGUACCCCAAACCGACACAGGUGGUCAGGUAGAGAAUACCAAGGCGCUUGAGAGAACUCGGGUGAAGGAACUAGGCAAAAUGGUGCCGUAACUUCGGGAGAAGGCACGCUGACACGUAGGUGAAGUGAUUUACUCAUGGAGCUGAAGUCAGUCGAAGAUACCAGCUGGCUGCAACUGUUUAUUAAAAACACAGCACUGUGCAAACACGAAAGUGGACGUAUACGGUGUGACGCCUGCCCGGUGCCGGAAGGUUAAUUGAUGGGGUCAGCGCAAGCGAAGCUCCUGAUCGAAGCCCCGGUAAACGGCGGCCGUAACUAUAACGGUCCUAAGGUAGCGAAAUUCCUUGUCGGGUAAGUUCCGACCUGCACGAAUGGCGUAAUGAUGGCCAGGCUGUCUCCACCCGAGACUCAGUGAAAUUGAACUCGCUGUGAAGAUGCAGUGUACCCGCGGCAAGACGGAAAGACCCCGUGAACCUUUACUAUAGCUUGACACUGAACAUUGAGCCUUGAUGUGUAG
rnacentral:rRNA from 4 species